GACGAACGCUGGCGGCGUGCUUAACACAUGCAAGUCGAACGGAAAGGCCCUGCUUUUGUGGGGUGCUCGAGUGGCGAACGGGUGAGUAACACGUAAGUAACCUGCCCUUGACUUUGGGAUAACUUCAGGAAACUGGGGCUAAUACCGGAUAGGAGCUCCUGCUGCAUGGUGGGGGUUGGAAAGUUUCGGCGGUUGGGGAUGGACUCGCGGCUUAUCAGCUUGUUGGUGGGGUAGUGGCUUACCAAGGCUUUGACGGGUAGCCGGCCUGAGAGGGUGACCGGCCACAUUGGGACUGAGAUACGGCCCAGACUCCUACGGGAGGCAGCAGUGGGGAAUAUUGCACAAUGGGCGGAAGCCUGAUGCAGCAACGCCGCGUGCGGGAUGACGGCCUUCGGGUUGUAAACCGCUUUCGCCUGUGACGAAGCGUGAGUGACGGGAAUGGGUAAAGAAGCACCGGCUAACUACG
rnacentral:rRNA from 1 species